UGUAGCGCCUCAAGUGGCCUAAUAAUGUAAAUCGCGUCAGGUGCUUAAGCACUAUUGAUUACGCGGCAGAAGAACAUACAAGAGUAACGUCCCAUCUCUUGACUGAGAAAGAUGCCGAAGAAAGGCAGCGACACGAAGCCCGUUAUUACAGCUCCACGAUGGGAAGAAGUUCAAGAUUUCUGCAACCCUGACAAACUGCUGUUGUGCCCCUAUGACCCACAUCAUCUGAUCCGGGCCUGUCGGUUCCCAUACCAUCUCAUCAAAUGCAGGAAGGUGCGUG